CGCAUAUUUUUUAUUUGCAGAUAGAGAAGAGAACAAAGUGCGUUGGAGUUGGAGCUGGGAACGAUGGUGGCCCUCACAGCUAGCUUCGCACCAGCACCAGCAACAGCAACAAUUACAAUGCCGAUGAAGAAACGCAGUGGUGGGACAGUGUGUUUCGCCUAGUUGUCGUUCCCUUCGUUUCUCCCAAAGCAAGUGGAGAAUAUCAAAGACACUUUCGCUUGUAAGCUCGCCACGAGGAUUGACAGACUUCCUGUACCUGUCAGCUUCUCAGAUAAUAGUAUCAUGAGUAGUUGUGUGAGGCCAUUAAUAUAGAGCAAGACAAGUCUAGUAGUUCUUCUCCAUGGUUUUGACAGCUCCUGUUUAGAAUGGAGGUACACGUAUCCGUUGCUUGAGGAGGCUGGUUUUGAGACUUAGGCUGUGGACAUACUUGGUUGGGGUUUCUCUGAUUUAGAAAGGCUUCCACCAUGUAAUGUGGCAUCUAAGCGUGAACACUUUUAUCUGCUUUGGAAAUCACACAUCAAAAGGCCAAUUAUAUUGGUUGGAACAAGCCUUGGUGCUACUGUUGCAAUUGACUUUGUGGUUAACCAUCCAGAAGCCAAGGCACAGGAAAUCUAGCAACUUUGCCCAGAAUUGCAGCAUAUAUAAGGCC